UACGAAGGGGGCUAGCGUUGCUCGGAAUUACUGGGCGUAAAGGGAGCGUAGGCGGACAUUUAAGUCAGAGGUGAAAUCCCGGAGCUUAACUUCGGAACUGCCUUUGAUACUGGAUGUCGUGAGUGUGAGAGAGGUAUGUGGAACUCCGAGUGUAGAGGUGAAAUUCGUAGAUAUUCGGAAGAACACCAGUGGCGAAGGCGACAUACUGGCUCAUUACUGACGCUGAGGCUCGAAAGCGUGGGGAGCAAACAGG
rnacentral:rRNA from 1 species